GCUGAAACUCGCCUACAUGAAGCUGGAGUUACUAGUAAUCGCAGAUCAGAAUGCUGCGGUGAAUGCGUUCCCGGGUCUUGUACACACCGCCCGUCACACCACGGGAGUUGGAGACGCCCGAAGCCGAUUAUCUAACCUUUUGGAAGAAGUCGUCGAAGGUGGAAUCAAUAACUGGGGUGAAGUCGUAACAAGGUAGCCGUAUCGGAAGGUGCGGCUGGAUCACCUCCUUU
rnacentral:rRNA from 1 species